rnacentral:lncRNA from 1 species
GCGGCCGCUAGGCCGAGGCCCUGAGCCCGGGAGCGGUUCUCAAAAGGCGCAGGCCGAGCCUUUACUGGGGUGGGGGGCAGGCUCGGCUCUUACAGGGCUGACCCGGGGUGAACCUGCUAUUUUGGGGCCCGUGUGCCGCGGGGCCAAGAGGACAGCUGGGACGGGGGACCCCCGCCCCCGCCCCCGGGCAGGCACGUCCGCGCCCAGGGGCAGGUCCAGCGCCACCUCCCCGCCACCACCCGGCUAGGGCCCGCGGCAGGGGCGCUCUGGAAACCUUGUAAGGUCUCGUUCUGGCGCCUCCCACCUCGGUUCCCGUAUUGGGGCAGCGGCUCCGCCCGCCGAGCCAGAGUGACCAGUGGGGGACACCCGGACCGUGGCCUGCCCCUGAGGGACCAAGGCGCACGCUUGCCCAACAGCGGAUCUCCUCUUCCCAAAUUUCCAUUUCAGCUCGGGCGUUUAGGACAGCAGCAGGGACACGGUGCGGGGGCAGCGCUCAGCCCCAGAACCCGGCGGGGUGUGCCUUUGGCUGGGGAUCCCCUGACGCGAAACACCCCCUCCCGGGCCGGGCUCCUUUACCGGAGGCCCGCGGACUCCCCACGGCAAUCAGCGGGGCUGGGCUCCGGCUCCUCAAAAGAACUCACAGAAACACAGAAAGGCCCAGGGGGAGUCUUUUGCUGCUGGAAACAACUCUGCCUGGGACCCAGAAUCCAGAAAUGGGUGUCCCUGACCCAGGCAGGCAGAGAGAGGGAUUUUCACCAGUGCAAAUGCAAGAGGAAUGUUGGGAACACAGCUUGGCUAAAGGUAAGGGAAAGGUAAGGAAAGUAUUGUCCAGCACCUGCUAUGUUCUGGAUGCUGUACUUUGCAGAGAGAUAGUCUCAUGUAACCCUCACAACACCCCUAGGAGUUGAGCAUUGUUGUUAUUUCCAUUUU